rnacentral:rRNA from 1 species
UCCUACGGGAGGCAGCAGUGGGGAAUAUUGCACAAUGGGGGAAACCCUGAUGCAGCGACGCCGCGUGGGUGGAGAAGUAUUUCGGUAUGUAAAGCCCUAUCAGCAGGGAAGAAAAAAAUGACGGUACCUGACUAAGAAGCACCGGCUAAAUACGUGCCAGCAGCCGCGGUAAUACGUAGGGGGCAAGCGUUAUCCGGAUUUACUGGGUGUAAAGGGAGCGUAGACGGCAGUGCAAGUCUGGAGUGAAAGGCGGGGGCUCAACCCCCGGACUGCUC